CUCAGAUUGAACGCUGGCGGAAUGCUUUACACAUGCAAGUCGAACGGCAGCAUUGAGAGCUUGCUCUCUGAUGGCGAGUGGCGAACGGGUGAGUAAUAUAUCGGAACGUGCCUAGUAAUGGGGAAUAACUAGCUGAAAAGUUAGCUAAUGCCGCAUACGACCUACGGGUGAAAGCAGGGGAUCUUCGGACCUUGCGUUAUUAGAGCGGCCGAUAUCUGAUUAGCUUGUUGGUGGGGUAAUGGCCUACCAAGGCGACGAUCAGUAGCUGGUCUGAGAGGACGAUCAGCCACACUGGAACUGAGACACGGUCCAGACUCCGUACGGGAGGCAGCAGUGGGGAAUUUUGGACAAUGGGGGCAACCCUGAUCCAGCCAUUCCGCGUGAGUGAAGAAGGUCCUUGGGUUGUAAACGCUCUUUCGCAAGAGAAGAAAACUUGCUAUCUAAUAAAUAGUAAGCAUGACGGUAUCUUGACAAGAACGCACCGGCUAACCG
rnacentral:rRNA from 1 species